GGAGAGGAAAGGUAUCGUCUAGAACAGACAUGUGUCUUUGUACGCUCCAUUUAUAUCUACCGUUACCGUUAAAAAAAAGGUACAUUCAGACACACAGCAGGGCUAACUAAAGCAGAACCAAAACCACAGCCCUAGUUCUAUUCUGGUCAUGCCCCUUCAAUGGGUACACUGUAUACAUCUGAGAGGAGUGAAAACAAUAUGGUGGACUGGUGGUCAAGGAUCAACGUACACAGGGAAGACUAAGGAUUUAUAGAUGUUACAUCAACUUUAGCACCAGAAUACUGUAAUGUACCGGACAGCCCCACAUCGCUCUAGUCAACACCAACUCCCUUUAUAACAACCACAACCUAAUGGAAUUAUCCACGGCUUUAAAAAUAAAGUUUUUUUUUGUUUCUCCGUCGUCUAUAAACUAUGCAGCGCUUCUAUUGGCUUAAAAAAUAGCCAACUUUCUAGCGGAGUAAAGUUACUAGCUUUACAAGUGCAUUUCACUUGACAGGCAAGGUCAUUGGUUUACUAUUUAAUCGUUAAUUUAAACGGGUUGGAUGUGAUGUAAACACGAAAAACGCCCUGCAGAACGUUAAAGUAGUCAGAUGAUCCCAGAUGUUCCAUCGCCCAAACUAUGUAUCAGGGAGAUUGAAACAUUGUACUACCAACACCCUACUACCCGGCCACAGUGGAAUGCACCGGACGCUUUUUCCCACCCCCGGAGAGCUAUGGACCAAUCGAAACCCAGCGUCCUGGAGCCCCUGUAGAACGCUGAACCAAUAGCGGACCACCUCAGCCUCUGUCCCGCCGACCUCAAAGCCGGCCCACUGGAGGUGCACCGUGGCAACCAGGUGACGGAUGCGCCCCAGAGUUUCGAGCUCUGCCCAGUUUUGCAGAACCCUCCACUCAGCACUCAGCAGUUUUCCUGAAAUUUGACAUCCCACUUACUAGUUUAUAAGAGACAAAGCUGUAUGAUGGGUCUGGAACUGAAGUUGAUGGGGAUGUGUUUGAGAAGGUGGUGAAACGGACAGAUCUGGGUGUUUUCAAGCUCACACUGAACAAUGAUGCUAAAGAAUCUUCCCUGAUGAGUCCUGUCUCUGCCAGUUCUGUGAUGGGUGGUUCAGACCAUGAGUCGGUUGAUACAAUCAUUUUGAGUGAGGAUGGAAGCCCCUCGCGAAAGUGUCAAAGAUCUGAUGACGAAGCAAAAAAAUCUAAUAGAGAGCAUACUGAAGAAAAAGCCAGGUGGAGAGGUUGUCAUCAAGGAAUAUUCCAAAACUAAAAGCCUGACUGACUGCACCAGACGAAAGAUGAUCAACAUUCUUGUUUCGGCGAUGACAGAGACUCACGGGACAUCACCACCGCGCAGUGGGAGAGAAAUGUUUGCACAAGGCAUCGUCUCUUUGUUCCCAUACCUGAAGGAUCCCUACACUGAAAAUGGAUAUGAACAUUAUUACCACCCUAAUAGUGGAGAAGGGUACCUCUCGUAUAGAAUCAAAACCAUUCAGAGGAAUUUGGUUUCAUCAGAGAAACGGCCCACUCAACUAUACUCUGGAGGGCCAACUGCUGAGAGGGAGUCCAGUCCAUCCACUUUGGCUACCCUGAGUGAAGACCAGUGCCGAGAGGUCAUUUCUCUUAUGAAGCAUUCUUCUGAUGAAGAAACAGAAGAUUAGAUUGACCUUUGGGUACAGGAACAUGACCCACAACCCGAGUAAAUGCUCCACCAUCCUAUCCGAAUUUCCACGCUUUCUGGAUGUGAAGGGCUUGGUAAGACUUGUUUCAGAUUGAACAGGAUUUUGUGCUGCUGUUUGGAGAGGGAACAUCAGCCAAGGUUUUGGAGAGGUGGCCAACUACAUUCAAGCAAAAGAUCAUCAUGCUAAGCAAGGCCCUAAGCAAGGCCACUCAGGGAGCUGAACUUCAGGAGCUGAUCCAGAUGGCAGAAUCUGCAGUUGAUGAGGGAACUGACAUGAAUGCUUACGGAUCUCUUUGAUUAGGAUGGGAAGGUGACCUUUCCUCCACCCUUCUGCUCCAUUUGAUUCCUCCUUCAUCACAAGGGCGCAAAAGACCAGGCAAGAUGUCUGCAUCUCAAGCUGAACAGCAUCUUGUGAUAUUCCAAAAGGCAGGAACCAGUAUCCAGCAGCACCUUGAUGCGAUUGACCAGAGCCGCCAACCAUAUCUUCUUGCAGUCGGGACCAGGAAGAGCAGCAUCCAUGCUUACUUCAUCAUCCUGGACAAGAGCGCCUUACAAGUCAACGAGCGCUCUUGGUGCUUCAAUGAUCUUUUCAAGACUCACUUUGUUUUUGGUACUGCUUACAAUACAAUGCUGCACAGCAUGUACACCUUCAUACAGAAAACUGUGUACAUCAUAGACAUUGGGAAGGUUAAGGAGACUCCAAGGGUUGCUGAGCUCAGAGCUAGACCUCUGCACUAAUGCUGAUAUGUUUUGUUUGCCAUGCUAGUCAUGGAAGUACCAACUUGCUCGAAAGGCAUCUCAAGUUGAUACAUGGAAUGUUCCCUGUUAGAACUCUUAGAAUAAAAUGUGGUCAAGCAGAUUGUUGUCGUGCAUUUGGUUGUCGUGUAUUUUCAGACUUUAGGAAGCAUUUGAACAGGGCACAAUCCCGAGACUGUCGAAUUGUGUUAAACGCUAACUUGAAUGCUAAUACAUCUGUUGAUAAUUAGCCAAUUAAUGCUGAUUUUCCUUCAAAUUCUAGUUGUAACCAUGUACCAAUAUCUAACAAGAACACACUUGAUAUGUGUGUGUCUGCUAUUGCACAGCUGCAGGUAUAGGUCAGACUGUAAAUAGUUUUGUAUCUUCCAUGGAAGAAGCAGUUCAAGAGAUACAGGGUCAAGCUAAUGUGACCGCUCUUACAUGUAUAUCUUCAAAAGACACACAAAUUGUCAGAAAAAUAUAACAUUAUUUUCAGGAUAUUGAAAAUCCUUUCACAUGGUUGAAUUCAGUAUCAAAACGAAGUGCUUAUUUUAUUCAAAAAUGGGGAACAAGUCAACCAGUUGAGAGUCCUUGGUGUUAGAUUUGACAAUAGAAGAAACAACACUACUGGAACUUAUGAUCAAAUGGUCAUAACUGAUCAAUUUUCUUACGUUCCAAUUCUCCAGACAUUGCAGUUAAUUUUGAAGGACCCAAAUUCAAGUGGCAUGUUUAACUCGGGGCACAAUUUUAAAAUGGAGUUUACUUUGAUUUGAAAGCUGGACUAUAUAUGAAGAGACAUCCUCUCUUUUCUAAAGAGUAAAGAGUUGAAUUUUCAAUGCAUUUAUGAUGACUGACACUGCUAAUCCAUUGGGAUCAAAAAAGUGAAUUCACAAGUUGGGAGGUACACACUUUACUUUGAGAAAUUUUACCCCAAAGUUGAAUUCAAUUUUGGUAAAUAUUCACUUAUGUGCACUCUUCCAUACCCAGGACCUUAAAACGUAGGGAUUUGAUUCCAUUCUUGAGCAAAUAGUUAGCGAUUCGAAAGUGCUUGAGACUGAGGGUAUUGAAGUUCCCUUCUUCAGUGGUUGUAUACAUGGCAGUAUUGUCCAAGUAACUGGAGAUAAUCUUGGUAUACGUUGCCUUUUUGGUUUUGUGGAAUCAUUUAGUGCUCGCUAUUGUUGCCGUUUUUGCCUCACUGAGAAAGUGGAUUUUCAAACUGUGUUCUCUGAGGAUGACCCAAGAGUGACUUUACGAACAAAACACAUGCAACUCAGACCAUUGUCAAACUAUUCAGUCAAACCCAACACGGUGUGAAGCAUGCUUGCUUAUUGAACUCUCUCCAGUACUUCAAUACUACAGACAGCUUUUCUGUUGAUAUAAUGCAUGACAUUUUAGGAGUUGCACAAUUUGAGGUAAAACUUGGGUUACAGUAUAUUCAAGCCAACUUUGUGACUGCUAAAGAUGUGCACGGUAGAGUUCAUUCAUUUAACUAUGGCUAUCAUCCACCUGCACUCAAAUUGGAUGUUGGGAGCAAUGAUUUGGGUCUAAAUACUAUUCAAUCUUGGCGUCUUCUCCGUAAUUUGCCAUUGAUAUUUAGUGAUCUGGUACAGAAAUAUGAUAAAUACUGGCAGCUGCUUCUGUUACUACUACAAAUUGUAAAUAUUGUGUUUUCUCCUAUACUAACAGAGGGCAUGACUAUCUAUCUGAAGCACUUAAUUGCUGAACAUCAUAGGCUUUUCAAGUAUUUGUUUCCUAAUAGAAAUGUGUUACCGAAACACCACUUCAUGAUACAUUAUCGUCGUUGUAUAAGGAACAUCGGGCCCAUUCUUCAUUCGUGGUGUAUGCGCUACGAGGCAAAACAUUAUUUCUUUAAAAAGCAACUGAAGUGUUUUAAGAAUGUCACUAUGACCUUAAUCAAGAAACACAAAUGACAUGGCAUAUAACUGGGAAACCUUCAGCCAGGAUGGACUAGCUAUCAGCCAGGAUGGACUAGCUAUCAGCCAGGAUGGACUAGCUAUCAGCCAGGAUGGACUAGCUAUCAGCCAGGAUAGACUAGCUAUCAGCCAGGAUGGACUAGCUAUCAGCCAGGAUAGACUAGCUAUCAGCCAGGAUGGACUAGCUAUCAGCCAGGAUAGACUAGCUAUCAGCCAGGAUGGACUAGCUAUCAGCCAGGAUAGACUAGCUAUCAGCCAGGAUAGACUAGCUAUCAGCCAGGAUGGACUAGCUAUCAGCCAGGAUAGACUAGCUAUCAGCCAGGAUAGACUAGCUAUCAGCCAGGAUGGACUAGCUAUCAGCCAGGAUGGACUAGCUAUCAGCCAGGAUGGACUAGCUAUCAGCCAGGAUAGACUAGCUAUCAGCCAGGAUAGACUAGCUAUCAGCCAGGAUAGACUAGCUAUCAGCCAGGAUGGACUAGCUAUCAGCCAGGAUGGACUAGCUAUCAGCCAGGAUGGACUAGCUAUCAGCCAGGAUGGACUAGCUAUCAGCCAGGAUGGACUAGCUAUCAGCCAGGAUAGACUAGCUAUAGGUCCAGGAAAGAUGUCAAGGAUCAAUGAUGUGAAAGAAAGCCAUGAGAUUGCUGCCAAGUUGAAUGUCUCAGUGCGCACACAUGUUUUGUGAGUUAAAUGGUUAAGCCCCAUGAUACAGAAUAUCAUCUUGAUUUGGUCAUAUGUGGUGAAGUAGUCAUUGAAAUGCCACUAUUUUACCAAAUUAAGGCUAUUCUGAAAGAGGAAAAUGUUUUUUAGGUUGGGUCAGCUCUUGAAACCUUAUGUUUUGAUGAUCAUUUGCAUGCAUUCAAAGUUUUGAAGCAAAGUCCACCAUGCAAAGUAUUUCAUGUAAAUAACAUGUACCACAAACCUUUUCAUUUGCUCAUGGAGCAAGUUAUUUUUUUGACUACAUUGUCCCCUACUGUCACUUGAUAACAGUUUAAGCCAGGGCUGAGACUUAUGGUUAGGUUGUGAGAAACAUGUUUUUAAUGUAAAUGUCAGCAUUUUCCAACAAACCUAUUGAUUUGCUCAUGUCAUAUGGAGCAAGGGAUUAUUUUGACUACAUUCUACUGUCACUUGAUAACAGUUUAAGGCAGGGCUGGGACUUGUGGUUUGGUCAUAAUAAACAUCAUUGAAUGUUGAAACAGCUUUGCUUGAGUUUAUUGUGAAAUUCCAAGUGCUUUUCCAAAAUACUUUUUGCACUCCUCAGUGUUAAAUCAACACUAGAAAUGUAACACUUGGAUCAAUGUACUUUUUACUCUGUGUAGAGUGGGACCAUAUGUACUCUCUGAUAGUGUUGAUUUAACACUUUCAAAUGUACUGUGUAGAAGUCCACAAACGAAGGGAAAAGGUGAGAAGAGGAGUGCAUAGAUGUGAGAAGAAAUUCAACGUGGAUGCUAUAAAUGUCAAUUGUGUUAAUAUGUAUCCAGGGGUUUAUUCAUUCUGUUAAACAUUUCUUAAACUGAAGCAAACUAAACAAAAUGGGGACAAACAUACCCGAAUUUGUCCAAUACAAACUCUUGUUUGCAACUGGUGUACUAAUGAUUACACCCUAGAUCAGCUAGAUGCAGGCA